rnacentral:lncRNA from 1 species
GAGUAUCACCCCGCAGAUGACUUGAUUAUGAACAAGAAAAAUAUACCUUACAAUGAAGAAAUCCAGCAGUCACCAACUUAACUUAGUGAUCACGCUUAGCACUACUAAUGGUGGAACAACCUGGCUUUAUAGGCCUCUUGAUUUGAUGCAACAUGAUGUAACAGUAUCACCUAUGAAGGAACCUUGCCAAAAGUGCUUAACCUGAAUAUAAUCAAGCCUUUUGACCCAACUUCCAGUUUACAGGAAAUGCACGGAGAGAGGAACAACUACAAUGAUCCUGGGAGGAGAAUCAGACAAAUCCAGAAUGUGGGACAUUCUAUAAGAAAACUGGCCUAAAUUCUUCAACAGGGAGUUGAAAGUGAUUUUUCCACUUUGUGUGCAGGAGUGGCCACUGUUGCUGUGGUUUCUCAACUGGCUCGAGAUUAAAGUUGGGCUUCUGUUAUCCCGAAGCCACUGAGACCACACCUGUCAAGAUGACCAGUGAUGUCUGCGUGGCCCCAGUCCAGUGAUUCCUGCUCUAUUCUGAACUCAGCUGGCCUUGCAGCAGCAUUUGACAGAGCUGACCAUGCCGAGAGUUGGAGGGAGAGCCUUCCAGGGAGAGGGGAUUGCAAACACAAAGGUCCAGAGAUGGGAACAUGCUUAGUGGGAUCAAGAGACAGAAAAAAAAAAGGCUGGUGUGGCUGGAGCACAGAGAGGGAGGGGUAUGAGCUGAGCAGGCAAGGGUCUGCAGGGGCCAAGUCACGUGGUGCCUUGUCAACUAGAGUAAAUCUUCAGCGCCUGGCCUAGCCCAGGACAGGUGCCCAAGGUUAGUCUUAUCAUUGUUAUUAUUAAGAGCUUAAUAGCACACAGUGUGAGAGAGUGGGAAGGGGGCCUGGUAGGGAAAAGAAGAGAAAAUGCCAGGCCUUGAAUAGCUUCCUGUCUAGUUGAGGGUCUAGGUUAUACCUGUUUCGUAGGUAAGUGGACAAGACAGCCUGCAUGCUGAUUUCUUGACUAUCCAUUUGUCUUUAUUGCCCUCCCCACCACAUACACACUUUCCUGGUGAAUUAUGUCCCAUCUAGGGAUUCUCUCGGGAUAAUUAAGGUUUAAUUUUUCACUUGAAAGAGAGCAAAAGUGGGCUGUGAGUCUCAGUGAAGAAAGAGAUGACUAAGAAUAUACCAGCCAUGAGAUCACAGUGUGGGCUGGGGACAGAGACAGCCCUGGUGUCCUCUCUGCUUUUCCAGACUACUCAGAGUAAACCCCUCCAAAUAAAUAAGAACUGGUCUCUGCUGCUUCAUUUGAACUGAGCUGCGAAUCACACAAAAGAAAUCAGACUCUAGAAGCAGCCCUUUGGAUUCCUGAUGCAACAUGCGUGACCUAAAGCAGGUGUGUUUUUAUCUUCUUGGUGUCCUUGCCACACACAUCCCUACCAUAGGCAUGCUUGCAGGUGCAUGCACACACACACUCAACACCCCCCCC